rnacentral:rRNA from 1 species
ACGCACGCUGGCGGCGUGCCUAAUACAUGCAAGUUGAGCGAUGAAGAUUGGUGCUUGCACCAAUUUGAAGAGCAGCGAACGGGUGAGUAACGCGUGGGGAAUCUGCCUUUGAGCGGGGGACAACAUUUGGAAACGAAUGCUAAUACCGCAUAACAACUUUAAACAUAAGUUUUAAGUUUGAAAGAUGCAAUUGCAUCACUCAAAGAUGAUCCCGCGUUGUAUUAGCUAGUUGGUGAGGUAAAGGCUCACCAAGGCGAUGAUACAUAGCCGACCUGAGAGGGUGAUCGGCCACAUUGGGACUGAGACACGGCCCAAACUCCUACGGGAGGCAGCAGUAGGGAAUCUUCGGCAAUGGACGAAGGUCUGACCGAGCAACGCCGCGUGAGUGAAGAAGGUUUUCGGAUCGUAAAACUCUGUUGGUAGAGAAGAACGUUGGUGAGAGUGGAAAGCUCAUCAAGUGACGGUAACUACCCAGAAAGGGACGGCUAACUACGUG